GUCACGGUCACAUUUGUCUUAUCCUUGGUCUCCGUGAAUUACACUUGCAGCGGUUAGCCAUCGAAUGUUUUAGCCGCCUACACAAAAGCAAACUGCAUUUUUAAAAGAAAACUUGGAGACAGAGGGAAAAUGUUUUCUUCCCUUUAUCACACUCCUCCCCACCAAAAGCAGCUCAUCAGUUCUCAUGAUUUGAAACUCCCCUUCUCACUCUUCAUAGCUACCGUUUGCCUGUAAUUUGCUUCAAUAAAUUAUUGUAGCAGAUUGAGGUGAAUUUUCAGGUAUUUUUCACGGGUUUAGUUUGUUUUUUUUCCUUUUGAGAAAGGGAUGCCAGCAAAGGAAAGAGUUGCUUUAAGUGACUGUCACCAG
rnacentral:lncRNA from 1 species